GACGAACGCUGGCGGCGUGCUUAACACAUGCAAGUCGAACGGAAAGGCCCUGCUUUUGUGGGGUGCUCGAGUGGCGAACGGGUGAGUAACACGUGAGUAACCUGCCCUUGACUUUGGGAUAACUUCAGGCAACUGGGGCUAAUACCGGAGAGGAGCUCCUGCUGCAUGGGGGGGGUUGGAAAGUUUGGGCGGAGGUGGCUGGACUCGCGGCUUAUCAGCUGGUUGGGGGGGGAGUGGCUUACCAGGCGUUUGGCGGAUAGCCGGCCUGGGAGGGUGGCCGGCGACAUUGGGACUGAGAUAGGGACCAGACUCCUACGGGGGGCAGCAGUGGGGAAUAUUGCCCAAUGGGCGGAAGCGUGAUGCGGCAACGCCGCGUGCGUGAUGACGGCCUUCUGGUUGUAAACCGCUUUCGGCUGUGACGAAGCGGGAGUGACGGUAAUGAGUAAAGAAGCACCGGCUAACUACGUG
rnacentral:rRNA from 1 species